rnacentral:rRNA from 1 species
AUUGAACGCUGGCGGCAUGCCUUACACAUGCAAGUCGAACGGCAGCAUGAUCUAGCUUGCUAGAUUGAUGGCGAGUGGCGAACGGGUGAGUAAUACAUCGGAACGUGCCCUGUAGUGGUGGAUAACUAGUCGAAAGAUUAGCUAAUACCGCAUACGACCUGAGGGUGAAAGUGGGGGACCGCAAGGCCUCAUGCUAUAGGAGCGGCCGAUGUCUGAUUAGCUAGUUGGUGAGGUAAAGGCUCACCAAGGCGACGAUCAGUAGCUGGUCUGAGAGGACGAUCAGACACACUGGGACUGAGACACGGCCCAGACUCCUACGGGAGGCAGCAGUGGGGAAUUUUGGACAAUGGGCGAAAGCCUGAUCCAGCAAUGCCGCGUGUGUGAAGAAGGCCUUCGGGUUGUAAAGCACUUUUGUCCGGAAAGAAAUGGCUCUGGUUAAUAACUGGGGUCGAUGACGGUACCGGAAGAAUAAGGACCGGCUAACUACGUG